UCUUCUCUCUCUCUCUCCAGCCAUCUUCCAUGCCUGAGGAGCAAGAAACCCUAGGGUUUCUUGCUGCCAGUCCAUAAAAGGAAAGAAAGGAAGGGAGGCGCUAGCCCCUUCCCCCUUGCAGCCGCCUACCAGAUCUGCUCUCCCCCUCUUACAGGCACCCAAACACUAGGUCCAAGACCUAGAAUAUCUUGAAAAGAGGUUGGUACAAGUCCCUCUCAGAUCUGGA
rnacentral:lncRNA from 1 species